rnacentral:rRNA from 1 species
AUUGAACGCUGGCGGCAGGCCUAACACAUGCAAGUCGAGCGGAGCGGCGGACGGGUGAGUAAUGCCUAGGAAUCUGCCUGGUAGUGGGGGAUAACGUCCGGAAACGGGCGCUAAUACCGCAUACUAUCAGAUGAGCCUAGGUCGGAUUAGCUAGUUGGUGGGGUAAAGGCCUACCAAGGCGACGAUCCGUAACUGGUCUGAGAGGAUGAUCAGUCAAACUGGAACUGGGACAAGGUCCAGGAUCCUGCGGGGGGCAGCAGUGGGGAAUAAUUGACAAUGGGCGAAAGCCUGAUCCAGCCAAGCCGGGGGUGUGAAGGAAGUCUUCGGAUUGUAAAAGACUUUAAGUUGGGAAGCGUUACCAACAGAAUAAGCACCGGCUAACUUCGUGCCAGCAGCCGCGGUAAUAC